CUGCUGCCUUCCGUAGGAGUUUGGGCCGUGUCUCAGUCCCAAUGUGGCCGGUCACCCUCUCAGGUCGGCUACUGAUCGUCGCCUUGGUGAGCCGUUACCUCUCCAACUAGCUAAUCAGACGCGGGUCCAUCUCAUACCACCGGAGUUUUUCACACCAAACCAUGCGGUUUUGUGCGCUUAUGCGGUUUUAGCAGUCAUUUCUAACUGUUAUCCCCCUGUACUGAGGCAGGUUACCCACGCGUUACUCACCCGUCCGCCACU
rnacentral:rRNA from 1 species